rnacentral:lncRNA from 1 species
ACAAUGUGAGAUACCUAGGAAGCUUUGCUGUAAUCCUGAAUCUUUAGACUUUUCUAGGAGACUUGGGGAUCACAAGAUCAAAACAGAGACCUUCACACUCAAGUUUUUAAGAUAGAGAAAAGUUCCUUGAGCAAAUGCAAGAAACACCAAAAACAAUCCAUUGAUACACUUGGUGACAUUAAUUGAGAAAAAAACAAUAUGGUCUGGCCAUGGAGGCAUGAUAUCCGUAACAUCCCCCAAAGGAGCUAAAGAAGAAAUCCACAAUUUACCAUGAGCAUUUCUCGUCUGAUGAUUGCCAAGCGAUUCCUCCAGGGCAUUCCUCAAGAUCAAUUUCUGUUCAUCCACCUUGUCCUGGGAGGGACAUCAAUGGGUUUCCAUGUCCUUUGGCUCCUGGUUGAGUUCACUCAGUGGAGAACCCUGGCAAGAGGCAGGAAAAGGGAAGGAAAGUGAAAACCAUCCAUUUCUUGGAGAAGUGCCACUGUGGGGUUGCAAGUCCCAGGAUCAAGAUUUCGAUGUGUCUCUUUUUCCCGUAAAGUGGCUGAAAUCUGAAGCUGAAUCUGCAAGUGUCAUGGAGUCAUUGAAUCUCACAGUCUCAACUGAUAAAAGUUAUUAAAGGUAAAAAUGGUGCUACCCUUGGAAAUCCAAGAGCAGCUUCAAGAGUCAACUACACUAGCAAUCCCUAAAGCUGGAGAAUUUAUGCCCAUGGAAAAGUCUGUAGCGUUUUGCAAACCAU